GACGAACGCUGGCGGCGUGCUUAACACAUGCAAGUCGAACGGAAAGGCCCUGCUUUUGUGGGGUGCUCGAGUGGCGAACGGGUGAGUAACACGUGAGUAACCUGCCCUUGACUUUGGGAUAACUUCAGGAAACUGGGGCUAAUACCGGAUAGGAGCUCCUGCUGCAUGGUGGGGGUUGGAAAGUUUCGGCGGUUGGGGAUGGACUCGCGGCUUAUCAGCUUGUUGGUGGGGUAGUGGCUUACCAAGGCUUUGACGGGUAGCCGGCCUGAGAGGGUGACCGGCCACAUUGGGACUGAGAGACGGCCCAGACUCGUACGGGAGGCAGCAGUGGGGAAUAUUGCACAAUGGGCGGAAGCCUGAUGCAGCAACGCCGCGUGCGGGAUGACGGCCUUCGGGUGGUAAACCGCUUUCGCCGGUGACGAAGCGUGAGUGACGGUAAUGGGUAAAGAAGCACCGGCUAACUACGUG
rnacentral:rRNA from 1 species